CAAAAGACAAAUCAUGAGUUUCUGUGUCCAACUUUGACUAUCCGUCUUAUAUGAAAUUUUUUUAUAAUUCGUAUUUUUAUUGUUGUUAGAUGAUAAAAUAUGAUUAAUAUUUUAUGUGUGACUUGUCUUUUUAAUUUUUUUUAUAAUUUUUUUAAAUAAGACGGACGGUCAAACGUUAGGCACGGAACCAGGGUUUGUCUUUUU
rfam:Oryza nivara chromosome 8, whole genome shotgun sequence.